CCUGAGGUAAUUUACCGUUUACAAACGACCGACUUCAACAAUGCACCUUCCAUCUGAAACACUGAGUGAACUACCAAGAUAAACUUAAACAUCUGUAAACAGGUAAAUAAUGGACCAGUAAUUCAACAGGUAAUUUCUGCUAUGACUCUCCGUUGCCCACUAUACCUACAAAACUUCAGAGAAUACAUUAGACAACCAUUUUCAGGCACCUAUUGCAGCAUAAUUCAUGCGGUGGAUAUAUUUUGGAGUACGAUAGAGGAUACAAGUGUCAUUUCAAGGACUCUCUAAGAAACAAAGCCAACUGAAAAUUACAAUAGAAGAAGAAUAAAUACCUGCUUCAUAUUUUGACCAGUUGAGCGCUGAAUACUUGUGUCAUCAGGUCACAGCCUUUGAGAAGAAAAUUAAGAGAUGACAGUCCUCACACAACUUUUCAAAACAUUUACAAUUGCAAGUUAAGCAACUGAAAAACAUAGUGUGAGAUAAAGGUUUCACUAAAAUGAAUUGAAAUGAAAUAAAUGACAGAGCAGCAAACCAGGAAUCCUCUUAUCAAUAAUUUUUGUUUACUUUAAACUUUCGGCACGUGGAGCCAACGUUUCACUUUUGGGUGCUCAUCAUUCAGCACAUGGCCGCGCGAUUUGGAGGUUAAGAAUCUUGUUUUGAUUUUGUGGCACCUCCAGGCACCUCUAAUUUCUUUUUCCAGUCUUCUUUGUGUGUUAUCUCACAGCGGUCUGAUAAGAAGCUAAUUUUCGACCAUGCCUGAAACGUAAGUCAACAUAAAAAUGCACACUUUCAUCAUCUGUCUAGGAUAAUAAUAAACAACAUUCAUCAGAAUUGAUAAAAACGAAACACAAUUGAUAACACUGAUAACACAUUCAUGAAGUGUUUUUGUGCGACUUGCCAAGCAAUGACAGACCAUUUGUCAUUGCACAAGGAUACAUUUUAUUUAAAUUCAGUAACGUUCAUAUUUUUGACUUAUAUUGAGCUCUGCACAGAUGCAUCAGCCACCGAUUCACAAAUAUAGGAUCUGUACAAUCGCAAACUUAUGCACUGUUCAAAUUGUUCACAAGCGUAUCUUCAGGGAGCAAAAUCCGGGGGCUGAGAAAUCAAAGAAACAGCUGAAGAAAGAAGCAAAGGAAGCAGAAAAAAGCUCAGAAAAAAGCUGAGAGAAAAGCAGCAAAUGUAAGUUCUUUUAAUUU
rnacentral:lncRNA from 1 species